AUAUACGCUAACUUAUCUGGGAAUGUAAUACCUUAUUAAAUGAUGUUUUCUUUACGAUAAGGUAUUUUCCACUUUACAGAAAACUGCAAACCAGUAUAUAAUAGAUUGAAACUUUACCUGCUUUUCAGGACAAACAAAACCCUUCCUUCCCACUGGCAGAAAUCAUCUUUCAGGGCCUAAUGAUUUGAUAUAAAAGCUUGCUUUAUAGCAUUCAUGUCCAGUACAGAGCUAGAUUUUAAAAUUAUAUAUAUGAUGAAAAUAUUAACAUUUCUAGAUUAAAAGUAUGACUGAUCUUUCGUUAUCCACUGUAGCAAGGUGAAAGCACACACAAUCGAAAUCCAUAGAUAAUCAGUGUUUAGCCUUCUCCUUCAAACAGUUGAUUUACAUAUCUUGUCCCUUCCUGUCCUUCUUCCACACACAUCCCCUUUUCAAGGGACGAGAAGUCAGAGAAGGAAAAGAAGCUCAAAGAAGGGCCAGCAGCUAGCCAGGCCAGGCUCCCAGUUAACUUAGACACUGGUAGGAAAAUGACCACCGGUGGGAACCUUGAGCACAGCCUGCUGCUGAGUUCUCUGCUGCUUCCUGACCAGAGAGAACUCUUAGUUCCUGUGGGAUGAACAGGCUGUGUUGAACAGAAACAGAAACCCCACUGUCUGAGCACAUUUCCUGGCUCUUGGCAAAGCUUGCUUUUUUGUUUCCUCCUUUGGAGUCACCUUCUGCAGUCUGAUGUCCUGGUGUGCAGCAAGGGUGCUCUGUCCUCUCGGACUGUGUUGGUUUUGUCCCCUGUAAAAGCAGUUUGCUGUUCUGUGGUCUUAGUGAUGCUUAGAGAGUGGCCCUCCCACCAACACUCUGACGUAGCACAAAAAGCCAUUUUCCUUUUUGUUUUCUGUUGUUUCCUGGUGUUGGGCUUCAGGGUGAAUGCAGGAGGAUUUAUUGUUACAGCCACGCUUUUCAAGAGCUGGUUACCAUAGGUGUAAAUUCCAUUGGUCCCCAGGUACCUUAGAGCUCUGGUAGCUUUGGCUGGGCCUGAAGCAGGCUCAGUGGGGGUUCUGGGACCUAUGUCUAUAUGUUGUCACCCGUCCAUAAGUUUGUGAGAUUUGGAAGAAAAAAAAAAUAUCUUCCCUUGUCUGGUGUCAAAAGCAGAGCUGUGCUUCGAUGGUAGCGCCAUCUCCUUGGUGGUCUUUCCAUGUUGUUAAUCUUUUUUAAAACUUUUGAGAAGUUUUUUUAAAGGCCCCACUUAGUCUGCAGAGGGCGAGUCAGAGGCAGUUUUCAGAGAAAAGGCCAAUUUCACUAAGUAGUUGUGAUUGCUGUUGUGUUAGUUACACAGCAGGAAUAUAAAGGAGGCAGGGGGAAGCUACUGGCUGGGGUAGUCUUAGGGAGCUCACAGGCUUCUCCCUGCAGAGGCAGUAGGGACAGGCAGGAAAGGUCAGCCUCCCUUUGGAGCUGUUCCCAGGCUGGGCCAGGCUCUACUCUUCCUGCAGGCAGUGGAGGCCAUACACAGUGCUUGCCUUACUUCAAAGCUCUUUGCCACAGUCCUGUUGCACAGUGUGGACGUCCUUUUGCAGUCUGGUGUGCAUGCCAUGUGAGCAGGACAGCUUUCCCGCCUCUCCCGGUUUCCUAUGAGCAAGUGAACCUAGCCUGAAACGUUCCACCUGUACUUCCCUACCUUGUCAGUGUUCGCUGUUGGUUUUCUAAAACAAUCUGAUCAAUAAAUCUCUAAAUCUACUUG
rnacentral:lncRNA from 1 species